GGUUCUGAGAGGAUGAUCCCCCACACUGGUACUGAGACACGGACCAGACUCCUACGGGAGGCAGCAGUGAGGAAUAUUGGGCAAUGGGCGCAAGCCUGACCCAGCCAUGCCGCGUGCAGGAUGACUGCCCCUAUGGGUUGUAAACUGCUUUUAUACGGGAAGAAUGGUUCCUACGUGUAGGAAUUUGACGGUACCGUAAGAAUAAGCAUCGGCUAACUCCGUUGCCAGCAGCCGCGGUAAUACGGAGGAUGCAAGCGUUAUCCGGAUUCAUUGGGUUUAAAGGGUGCGCAGGCGGAGUAUUAAGUCAGUGGUGAAAUCCUGCAGCUUAACUGUAGAACUGCCAUUGAUACUGAUAUUCUUGAAUAUAGUUGAGGUGGGCGGAAUGUGUAAUGUAGCGGUGAAAUGCUUAGAUAUUACACAGAACACCGAUUGCGAAGGCAGCUCACUAAACUAAUAUUGACGCUGGGGCACGAAAGCGUUGGGGAGCGAACAGGAUUAGAUACCCUGGUAGUCCACGCUGUAAACUAUGAUCACUCGCUGUUGGCAAUACAUCGUCAGCGGCUGAGCGAUAGCAUUAAGUGAUCCACCUGGGGAUUACGAUCGCAAGAUUGAAACUCAAAGGAAUUGACGGGGGCCCGCACAAGCGGAGGAACAUGUGGUUUAAUUCGAUGAUACGCGAGGAACCUUACCUGGGCUUAUAUGCAGAUCGACGUUUCGGGAAACCGGAAUUCCUUCGGGCGAACUGCAAGAUGCUGCAUGGCUGUCGUCAGCUCGUGCCGUGAGGUGUCGGGUUAAGUCCCAUAACGAGCGCAACCCUUAUCGUUAGUUGCCAGCGGGUAAUGCCGGGGACUCUAACGAGACUGCCGGUGUAACCCGUGAGGAAGGUGGGGAUGACGUCAAGUCAGCACGGCCCUUAUGUCCAGGGCUACACACGUGUUACAAU
rnacentral:rRNA from 1 species